UCUAGCAGUGCCUGCAUCAACAGUGGCCUCAGAAUCUGCAUUUUCUUCUGCAGAAAGAACUGUGAGUGACUACAGAAGUAGGUUGAAAAGUGAAACAAUAGAAGCUCUUAUUUGCUUUCAAGACUGGUUGAGAUCAGAAGAUGGUACACAUGAUCAUAUAGCCGGAAACAUAGCUGGAGAUGAGCUUGAUUGCAUCUAAUGCAUAUUGCUAAUGCGGGUAGAUGUUUCUGGGUUCUACCUGCGAUGAUUCUGGGUUGCCUGAUCCCACUAUUACAUCACAGAAAGGCUUUUGCUGUGGAAUUGCCUGCUCCAAUGCCAUUCUAGUGACAAGAUUGAUGGUAGCAUUGAAUUGCCUGCUCUGUUUUAACCUGGCUACAAUUUUCUGUUGCUUUUGACAUUUUAGUAGUUUGUUAGACUGGAAUCGAAGAAGCUGCAGCAACAAGAUUGCUAAGCCACGUAGAGAAGUGAUGGACUAGUGUGGUUCUGUAAUGUAUAAUCCAUUUUAAUAUUUUCAGACACCGAUGUCAUCAUCCGAUCCUGGAGUAUAUUUGGAUUUUGAUGUAUGGUGUUGAAAAAUCUGGAGAAUAUAGUUGUUAUAAGCUUCUUAUA